rnacentral:lncRNA from 1 species
CGGGAGAGGCGGGGCAGCCCCGGUCCCAGCCCCAUUUAAUUUCGCGGCGGCGGCGGUGGCGACUGCGGCGCCGCGGGCUGGAGGCCGGCGUCGGGGAAGGUCCGGGUCCCGGAUUCCGCACGAGGUGUUGACUGGCGGCAUCUGCCAGCUUCUCCCCCGCGCGCGCCGAGCCCCAGCGGCCCUGGGGCUGCACAUCCCAGAUACUUCUGCGGCGCAAGGCUACAACUGAGACCCAGAGGAGACCAGACCCCAUGGCUUCCUGGACGAGCCCCUGGUGGCUGCUGGUAGGGAUGGUCUUCAUGCACUCUACCCUGCAGGAGACCACAGCUGAGAAAUCUCCUGGAGCCUAUUUCCUUCCCGAGUUUGCACUCUCUCCUCAGGGAAGUUUUCUGGAAGACACAACAGGGGAGCAGUUCCUCACUUACCGCUAUGACGACCAGACCUCAAGAAACACUCGUUCAGAUGAAGACAAAGAUGGCAACUGGGAUGCUUGGGGCGACUGGAGUGACUGCUCCCGGACCUGCGGGGGAGGAGCGUCAUAUUCUCUGCGGAGGUGUUUGACCGGAAGGUCAGUGGUGGCUUCACUUGCUCCUGCAUGUGGAAUGUGUCAGUGCCUCUGGAUGGGUGGAGAGGAGAGAUAACUUUAUUUGGCUUU